AACGCACAUUGCGCCCCCUGGUAUUCCGGGGGGCAUGCCUGUCCGAGCGUCAUUACUGCCCUCAAGCACGGCUUGUGUGUUGGGCCGCCGUCCCUACUCCCCCCCCGCACCGCGGGAGAGGGUGGGACGGGCCCGAAAGGCAGUGGCGGCACCGCGUCUGGUCCUCGAGCGCAUGGGGCUUUGUCACCCGCUCUGUAGGCCAGGCCGGGGCCUGCCGACCCUCCAUCAUCCUUCUCAAGGUUGACCUCGGAUCAGGUAGGGAUACCCGCUGAACUUAA
rnacentral:misc_RNA from 1 species